UACGUAGGGCGCAAGCGUUGUCCGGAAUUAUUGGGCGUAAAGAGCUCGUAGGCGGUUUGUCGCGUCUGCUGUGAAAACCUCAGGCUCAACCUGGGGCUUGCAGUGGGUACGGGCAGGCUAGAGUUCGGUAGGGGAGACUGGAAUUCCUGGUGUAGCGGUGAAAUGCGCAGAUAUCAGGAGGAACACCGGUGGCGAAGGCGGGUCUCUGGGCCGAUACUGACGCUCAUGCACGAAAGCGUGGGGAGCAAACAGG
rnacentral:rRNA from 1 species